CUUUGAUACACAGAAGUUUGAAUGUCAUCUAUCUAGGGAGCAGCUGGAUAGCAAAGCCUCAAGCCCAUGGAAAACAUUUAUAAACCUCCAUGACAAGCCAUCUCCACAAACCCCGAAAUAGAACUGGUGACAAAUCCCCAACAGCUACAAGACCUGCAUGGUAGUAACAUCUGUGUGAAAAGAAGACAGAAGUAAUGGGGCAGUGUCAAUGAAGGAUCUGAGAAGAGAGAAUUCCAAAGAGCUGACAAUAGUUCACCGGCAAGCACAGUGGACAUCUUUGGAAACAGCUGAUGAAACUGGGAGGGGCUUUGUUCAGCCCAGUGUUGGGUGACUGCGAGGAGUGCCUGGUAGACUAUGAAGGGGCUGGCAUUGUCCAGACCCUGUGAACUUUGAAAAGGACCUGCACAGGUUUGUUUCUAGGGCAGAGUCCCACAUUGAGGAGAGAUUGCCAGGAGUGGAGGCAAAAUUGAGCCGGGCGGGGGCAACAUGGAUGAAGAAAGAGAGGGCCAGGUAAAAGUAGGGCAAUGAGAAUAGAGCCGGGACAUUUUAAGGGACUAUUUUAUUUUUAAAUAAUGCAUAAAACCAUGGACUAUGGGGCAGUUUGAACUUAUACAGUUUAUCAUGAACGAUGUUUCCUUCUAAAAAUUCAGGAAAACAAAAUUCACAUAAAAUUAGUAUAGGAAAAGAUCACAGUCAAAUGUCAUUUAAAGUUAUUAUUCAAAAACAUAAAGAAAAUGUGAUACACAUACGCCAUGGAAUACAAUGUAACCAUAAAAAGGAAUUAAAUCAUGUUGUUUGCAGCAAUGUGGAUGCAGCUGGAGGCCAUUAUCCUAAGGGAAUUAAUGCAGAAACAGAAAACCAAGUAUUGCGUGUUCUUACUUAUAAGUGGAAACUAAACAUUGGGUACGU
rnacentral:lncRNA from 1 species